CACGUAGGGUGCGAGCGUUGUCCGGAAUUAUUGGGCGUAAAGAGCUCGUAGGCGGUGUGUCGCGUCGGCCGUGAAAACCUGCAGCUUAACUGUGGGCUUGCGGUCGAUACGGGCAUCACUGGAGUUCGGCAGGGGAGACUGGAAUUCCUGGUGUAGCUGUGAAAUGCGCAGAUAUCAGGAGGAGCACCGGUGGCGAAGGCGGGUCUCUGGGCCGAUACUGACGCUGAGGAGCGAAAGCGUGGGGAGCGAACAGG
rnacentral:rRNA from 1 species